CACAGGGCUGGGCGCAAGCCUGCGCAGCCCGCCGCGUGUAUGAAGAAGGCCUUCGGGUUGAAAGCACCCCCGUCGUGAGGAAGGGUGUGUAGUCAAUAGCCGCACAUCUUGACGCCAGCAACAGAAGAAGCACCGGCUAACCCCGUGCCAGCAGCCGCGGUAAUACGGAGGGUGCGAGCGUUAAUCGGAAUUACUGGGCGUAAAGCGCAUGCAGGCGGUCCAUCAAGCCAGAUGUGAAAGCCCGGGGCUCAACCUCGGAACUGCAUCUGAAACUGGUGAACUAGAGUACUGUAGAGGGGGGUAGAAUCUCAGGUGUAGCGGUGAAAUGCGUAGAGAUCUGAAGGAAUACCAGUGGCGAAGGCGGCCCCCUGGACAGAUACUGACACUCAGAUGCGAAA
rnacentral:rRNA from 1 species